UACGUAGGUGGCAAGCGUUAUCCGGAAUUAUUGGGCGUAAAGCGCGCGCAGGUGGUUCCUUAAGUCUGAUGUGAAAGCCCCCGGCUCAACCGGGGAGGGUCAUUGGAAACUGUGGAACUUGAGUGUAGAAGAGGAAAGUGGAAUUCCACGUGUAGCGGUGAAAUGCGUAGAGAUGUGGAGGAACACCAGUGGCGAAGGCGACUUUCUGGUCUAUAACUGACACUGAGGCGCGAAAGCGUGGGGAGCAAACAGG
rnacentral:rRNA from 1 species